rnacentral:rRNA from 1 species
CAGUCGCCGCGGUAAUACGAAGGGGGCUAGCGUUGUUCGGAUUUACUGGGCGUAAAGGGCGCGUAGGCGGGCGAAUAAGUCAGGGGUGAAAUCCCAAGGCUCAACCUUGGAACUGCCUUUGAUACUAUUUGUCUUGAGUUCGAGAGAGGUGUGUGGAACUCCGAGUGUAGAGGUGAAAUUCGUAGAUAUUCGGAAGAACACCAGUGGCGAAGGCGACACACUGGCUCAUUACUGACGCUGAGGCGCGAAAGCGUGGGGAGCAAACAGGAUUAGAUACCCCAGUAGUCCCUGUCUCUUAUAA